UGAUGUAUCAUGAAUUUGAUUACGUAUGACACGUUGCUUCUUGUAAAAAAAAGUACUGAUUUAUAUACUUCAAUUUUAUUAAACAUGAUUCACUAUCUCAUUAAUCACUGAUAUAUUACAUAGUCAUAUUCCACCCUCGCGGAAUCCGAAAUACAUACUAGAAAGGGCAUAUAUUAUAGCCAUUAUUUAGUACUAUAUCUAAGGUUCAAGUCUAUACGAGUCAGAGCAACCAAACCUUAGUUUAAUAGGCUGGCCUCUGUACAAAAGAUGUUGAACCUUAGACUCAUUCACCUGAAGAAAAAACAGAAACAACUGUAAAUCCGGAGUCCAUGCCAGCAAAAUGGAAAUAGAAAAUAAGAAAAUAAAAUUUUCACUCAGUUCAUUGGACCGAAACAUGAUUGUUGAACAACAGUUAAACCCUAGGCAACCGCUGUUAUACCAUCAACACAGAAGAUGUUGAUCCAAAAACAUGGCUCUUUUUUACAUCCUCCACAAGAAUAUCCUCAAUAACAAGAUGACGCAGCACACGGGAUGCUUCACCCUUGAGAAGAUGUUUUCCAGCUCCAUGCAGGCUCAAGGUCUCAAUGCAUGAGAUUUAGAUGUAUCUUUUAUAUUUAUUUGUUUCCUAUUUUCACAUGAAGUAUCUGGUCACAUGAGAUUUAUCUGUAAUCCCUUUUCUAAGAUUCACCAGUUUCUCGGUUGUCUACUUGACAUUUUAUCGGGCAGGUUAUGGGCAACAAAUUCAUAAUAAAAUAGUUACAUGAAUCAAGUAGACAACCGAGAGGAAUAAAGCUGAACAACAAGUGCACUCAAAUCAUAAACUAUUACUACAUCCAUUUCAAUCUCAAAUAGAUGGGACUAAUUUCAAAUGUAAUCAAUUUAGCGCAAACUUUAAAACUUAACCCUCACAAUUCAACACAAUACAGUACAUAGCUUCAAGAAUAGCUAAUAAUGUCCAAUAAAAUCUCAGGAAAAAAAGGGAACAACUUGAAGAAUGGACAGCUUCUUUACGGUGACAUUUAGCAACAACAUUAUCUAAUUGCUCACAAAAUAAAAAAAAUUUACCAUGCAAUUACAUACCUUCAACGGGAAAGCAAGGAAAGUUUGUUUGCAGGGAGAUUCAGCAGAAAAAAACUCCAAGUGUUUUGGCUGAGAGAUAAUUUGCCGAGGAUAGUUUUUUGCAGAGAGAGUGUUUCUUGUGAGAGAGAUAAGAAGAAGCAAAAUUUGACUAAGUGCUUUGGGCGGCAAAAUGAAAGUUUUGAGCAAAUGAAUCUUCC
rnacentral:lncRNA from 1 species